CGGUAGCUAAAUGCGGAAGAGAUAAGUGCUGAAAGCAUCUAAGCACGAAACUUGCCCCGAGAUGAGUUCUCCCUGAGACUUUAAGUCUCCUGAAGGAACGUUGAAGACGACGACGUUGAUAGGCCGGGUGUGUAAGCGCAGCGAUGCGUUGAGCUAACCGGUACUAAUGAACCGUGAGGCUUAACCUUACAACGCCGAAGCUGUU
rnacentral:rRNA from 1 species